AUUGAACGCUGGCGGCAGGCCUAACACAUGCAAGUCGAACGAGCGGCGGACGGGUGAGUAAUGUCUGGGAAACUGCCCGAUGGAGGGGGAUAACUACUGGAAACGGUAGCUAAUACCGCAUACCAUCAGAUGUGCCCAGAUGGGAUUAGCUUGUUGGUGGGGUAACGGCCUACCAAGGCGACGAUCCCUAGCUGGGCUGAGAGGAUGACCAGCCACACUGGAACUGAGACACGGUCCAGACUCCUACGGGAGGCAGCAGUGGGGAAUAUUGGACAAUGGGCGCAAGCCUGAUGCAGCCAUGCCGCGUGUAUGAAGAAGGCCUUCGGGUUGUAAAGUACUUUCAGCUGGGAGGCGUUACCCGCAGAAGAAGCACCGGCUAACUCCGUGCCAGCAGCCGCGGUAAUAC
rnacentral:rRNA from 1 species